rnacentral:rRNA from 1 species
UUGCUGGGUGGAUCAGUGGCGAACGGGUGAGUAACACGUGAGCAAUCUGCCCCUGACUCUGGGAUAAGCGCUGGAAACGGCGUCUAAUACCGGAUACGAGCUGCGGCCGCAUGGUCGGCAGUUGGAAAGAUUUUUCGGUCAGGGAUGAGCUCGCGGCCUAUCAGCUUGUUGGUGAGGUAAUGGCUCACCAAGGCGUCGACGGGUAGCCGGCCUGAGAGGGUGACCGGCCACACUGGGACUGAGACACGGCCCAGACUCCUACGGGAGGCAGCAGUGGGGAAUAUUGCACAAUGGGCGGAAGCCUGAUGCAGCAACGCCGCGUGAGGGAUGACGGCCUUCGGGUUGUAAACCUCUUUUAGCAGGGAAGAAGCGAAAGUGACGGUACCUGCAGAAAAAGCGCCGGCUAACUACGUGCCAGCAGCCGCGGUAAUACGUAGGGCGCAAGCGUUAUCCGGAAUUAUUGGGCGUAAAGAGCUCGUAGGCGGUCUGUCGCGUCUGCUGUGAAAUCCCGAGGCUCAACCUCGGGUCUGCAGUGGGUACGGGCAGACUAGAGUGCGGUAGGGGAGAUUGGAAUUCCUGGUGUAGCGGUGGAAUGCGCAGAUAUCAGGAGGAACACCGAUGGCGAAGGCAGAUCUCUGGGCCGUAACUGACGCUGAGGAGCGAAAGGGUGGGGAGCAAACAGGCUUAGAUACCCUGGUAGUCCACCCCCGUAAACGUUGGGAACUAGUUGUGGGGUCCAUUCCACGGAUUCCGUGACGCAGCUAACGCAUUAAGUUCCCCGCCUGGGGAGUACG